AUUGAACGCUGGCGGCAUGCUUUACACAUGCAAGUCGAACGGCAGCGCGGGCUUCGGCCUGGCGGCGAGUGGCGAACGGGUGAGUAAUACAUCGGAACGUGCCCAGUAGUGGGGGAUAGCUCGGCGAAAGCCGGAUUAAUACCGCAUACGACCUGGGGGUGAAAGCGGGGGAUCUUCGGACCUCGCGCUAUUGGAGCGGCCGAUGGCAGGUUAGCUAGUUGGUGGGGUAAAGGCCUACCAAGGCGACGAUCUGUAGCUGGUCUGAGAGGACGACCAGCCACACUGGGACUGAGACACGGCCCAGACUCCUACGGGAGGCAGCAGUGGGGAAUUUUGGACAAUGGGCGAAAGCCUGAUCCAGCAAUGCCGCGUGUGUGAUGAAGGCCUUCGGGUUGUAAAGCACUUUUGGCGGGAACGAAAAGGACUGUGCCAAUACCACGGUUCGAUGACGGUACCCGCAGAAUAAGCACCGGCUAACUACGUG
rnacentral:rRNA from 1 species